rnacentral:rRNA from 1 species
UGGGGAAUUUUGGACAAUGGGCGAAAGCCUGAUCCAGCAAUGCCGCGUGUGUGAAGAAGGCCUUCGGGUUGUAAAGCACUUUUGUCCGGAAAGAAAUCCUUGGCUCUAAUACAGUCGGGGGAUGACGGUACCGGAAGAAUAAGCACCGGCUAACUACGUGCCAGCAGCCGCGGUAAUACGUAGGGUGCAAGCGUUAAUCGGAAUUACUGGGCGUAAAGCGUGCGCAGGCGGUUUGCUAAGACCGAUGUGAAAUCCCCGGGCUCAACCUGGGAACUGCAUUGGUGACUGGCAGGCUAGAGUAUGGCAGAGGGGGGUAGAAUUCCACGUGUAGCAGUGAAAUGCGUAGAGAUGUGGAGGAAUACUGAUGGCGAAGGCAGCCCCCUGGGCCAAUACUGACGCUCAUGCACGAAAGCGUGGGGAGCAAACAGGAUUAGAUACCCUGGUAGUCCACGCCCUAAACGAUGUCAACUAGUUGUUGGGGAUUCAUUUCCUUAGUAACGUAGCUAACGCGUGAAGUUGACCGCCUGGGGAGUACGGUCGCAAGAUUAAAACUUAAAUGAAUUGACGGGGUCAUAGCUGUUUCC